rnacentral:rRNA from 7 species
AAAUUGAAGAGUUUGAUCAUGGCUCAGAUUGAACGCUGGCGGCAGGCCUAACACAUGCAAGUCGAACGGUAACAGGAAGCAGCUUGCUGCUUUGCUGACGAGUGGCGGACGGGUGAGUAAUGUCUGGGAAACUGCCUGAUGGAGGGGGAUAACUACUGGAAACGGUGGCUAAUACCGCAUAACGUCGCAAGACCAAAGAGGGGGACCUUCGGGCCUCUUGCCAUCAGAUGUGCCCAGAUGGGAUUAGCUU